UCGAACCAAACCGCCACGGCAGUUCCAUGCACACUCCCACCACAGACUCAAUCAGAUCUCUGCCCUCCAGCUGCUGCUUUUAACUAAGAAAAGGAAAAAAAGUUAUGAUUACAAAUCCCACCAAAUUUUGUUUAGCUUGGUGCUGAGUUUUUAAAAAAAACAGUCCAUGGGGACGUUGCUAAGCACACCCUCCACUUCUUCUGAUCCUCUGGUCUAAUUUGUAGCUUCCCAAGGCGAUUCUUCAUUGAAAAACAAUUAGGAGACUGCUACCUAUUUAGUUUGGCCCUGAGGCAGGAAUCUUUCCCACCCCUGCUGAUUGAGGCCCUAUUAAGGAGGAACUUCUGCAAGCAAAGCACUUGUCUCCCUCUCUCUCUGAGAGAUAACACUCCAUCUCAACACUAAACAAAGUUGCUGAUCUCUUGAUGGUAAUUGAGAUGUACAUCAAGACUCAGCCUCAAAUUGGGUGCAGUGAAGAGAUAUUACGUCACAGCAGGAAUUCCUUCCUGGCCCUGUACUUGACUACAGACUGAAUCUUAGUUAUGCAACAGUGUACCAACCAAGAGUUAACUUUAAAGAGAUAGGGAAGCAGCAUCAGUAGUGGCAAUUAAUCGACAUCAGGCCUGGGACAAUCUCUUUGCCAGGACACAUGACUGUAUUAUUAUCUUCUCAGCAAAAGCAGUUCUUCAGAUAAUAUACGGGGACCUGCUGAAGGCACACAAAGUAGGAGAGUAAAGAAAUGCUGAUGUCAGAGCCAUCCACCAAUGCACAAUGUCUAUAACCCAUGGAAACAAACAAACUGAAAAUCUUCAAUAUGUGUAAGAAUAAGGAGGUGAAGAACAGGGAGGGCAUAAUUCUGAAAAAGGACAGGCCCGGGGCCCUUUGGUCAUAUCAUUAGGAUUGCACUGGAUUGGAACUAGAUGGCAAAUGGAUUCUGCAAUCCUCUGGGGGAGACUUGCUUGCAGAACAAUGCCUUUCUUGAACACUCUGCCAAAGUUAAGUGGUCCUCUGUUUCUACCUUUGUGCUGAAACUUUGUGAAUUAGACACCAGUUGGGAGGACAACUAUGAAAUGCAGUUUCUUCAGAUUUCUUCAAUGCAACUAGAAGCUACUGGUUGUUGAGUCCUAGUGUCUGCUCAGUCCAAGAGUGCCUCUGAGAGCAACACCUGGCAGGCUCCAGCCAAAGACACCAGAAGUCUAGAUCCACAAAGGAUGCAAUUGGAUGUACAUAAUGAAGUAAGGACAACUGUAGAUAAGGAUUCCAUGCAAAGAAAAGGAUGGAAUCCUAUUUGCUGAGCAUGGAGCUGGAAAAUAUUUUGCUGGAGGACAAGACCUGAAGCAGCUGGAGAACAAGCAGCAUAGGAUGCCAAAAAUAGAAAAGUCUACAGACUUAUCCGCUUGCAUACCGUGUAACAUGAAACUCAGAGGACAGAAUUUAACUGAGCAUGUUAAUAAAAUCCUAGACAAUGCAAGGAGAGGCGCACAAGAAAAUGUAAGAUUCCCAAAUGAAGCAAUUGUUGGAUUUAUAUGUUUUGUUUUGGAAUGAAAAAAGGAGAUUUUAUUUGGAUUUUGGAAUUUCUAGUCUUCAAGUUUUUAAUAUGAGUUCAGAGGCUGCCUCUAGUGAAGUCUCUGACCAAAAAAGUCAGUUUAAAGUGUUUCAAACCAAACAAACCAGCAAGGUCUAUAGGCCACAGCAGAGUUGCUCAAAGAAAUUCCAAGAAGGAUGACUCAUCACCCAGAAUCUCUUCAAACCAGAAACAUUUGGAUCCAUUCAAUGGGGACACUAGCCCCUGGAGGCUUCAGCCUUGAGGACAACACAUGACAUGUCUGCAACAGCCAAUCCUAGACUUCUGAACACUCCAUCACAGACAUUUUGUUAACUGUUACUGCAGCUAACGUACUUUGCCUAUAACAUCAGAGCAAGUGAAAAAGGAGGGAGUCAAAACAUUUUGCACACUAUAUCUCUGCUUGUUAAAUCAACAAUAAAUUACACACACACACACACACACACCAGGGGUGUUGCUAUAACUGAGUGAAGGGGUUCAAAGAACCCGGGACACCCCAGGUGAUUUGUACCAAUA